UGUGCUAUGGCUUAGCUUCUUAAAUUGCCUGUCUAGUAAACAGGAGAUCCUGAGUUCAAAUCCCAGUGGUACCU
rnacentral:tRNA from 1 species